UGCCUAACACAUGCAAGUCGAACGGGCAUUUUGUAGCAAUACAGAGUGUCAGUGGCGCACGGGUGAGUAACACGUGGGUAAUCUGCCCCCAAGAUUGGGACAACUCCGCGAAAGCGGGGCUAAUACCAAAUGAGACCACGUCCUCGAAAGAGGAUGCGGCUAAAGAUGGCCUCUACUUGUAAGCUAUCACUUGAGGAUGAGCCUGCGUCCCAUCAGCUAGUUGGUAAGGUAAUGGCUUACCAAGGCUAUGACGGGUAGCUGGUCUGAGAGGACGACCAGCCACACUGGAACUGAGACACGGUCCAGACUCCUACGGGAGGCAGCAGUGGGGAAUAUUGGACAAUGGGCGCAAGCCUGAUCCAGCAACGCCGCGUAGGUGAUGAAGGCUUUCGGGUCGUAAAGCCC
rnacentral:rRNA from 1 species